GGGGAGGUGCCAGAGUGGCUGAAUGGGGCUGCCUGCUAAGCAGUUAGGGGGCUGUAUGGUUCCCUCCAGGGUUCGAAUCCCUGCCUCUCCG
rnacentral:tRNA from 1 species